CCUACGGGAGGCAGCAGUGAGGAAUAUUGGUCAAUGGACGCAAGUCUGAACCAGCCAUGCCGCGUGCAGGAAGACGGCUCUAUGAGUUGUAAACUGCGUUUGUACGAGGGUAAACGCAGAUACGUGUAUCUGUCUGAAAGUAUCGUACGAAUAAGGAUCGGCUAACUCCGUGCCAGCAGCCGCGGUAAUACGGUGGAUUCAAGCGUUAUCCGGAUUUAUUGGGUUUAAAGGGUGCGUAGGCGGUCGGAUAAGUUAGAGGUGAAAUCCCAGGGCUCAAUUUCGGAAUUGCCGUUGAUACUGUUCGGCUAGAGAGUAGUUGCGGUAGGCGGAAUGUAUGGUGUAGCAGUGAAAUGCUUAGAGAUCAUACAGAACACCGAUUGCGAAGGCAGCUUACCAAGCUACUUCUGACGUUGAGGCACGAAAGCGUGGGGAGCAAACAGGAUUAGAUACCCUUGUAGUC
rnacentral:rRNA from 1 species